rnacentral:rRNA from 1 species
ACUCCUACGGGAGGCAGCAGUGGGGAAUAUUGCACAAUGGGGGAAACCCUGAUGCAGCCAUGCCGCGUGUGUGAAGAAGGCCUUCGGGUUGUAAAGCACUUUCAGUAGGGAGGAAGGUAGUGUAGUUAACACCUGCAUUAUUUGACGUUACCUACAGAAGAAGCACCGGCUAACUCCGUGCCAGCAGCCGCGGUAAUACGGAGGGUGCGAGCGUUAAUCGGAAUUACUGGGCGUAAAGCGCAUGCAGGCGGCCUGUUAAGUCAGAUGUGAAAGCCCGGGGGCUUAACCUCGGAAUUGCAUUUGAAACUGGCAGGCUAGAGUCUUGUAGAGGGGGGUAGGAAUUUCAGGUGUAGCGGUGAAAUGCGUAGAGAUCUGAAGGAAUACCAGUGGCGAAGGCGGCCCCCUGGACAAAGACUGACGCUCAGAUGCGAAAGCGUGGGGAGCAAACAGGAUUAGAUACCCUGGUAGGAUAGCC